UACGUAGGGUGCGAGCGUUGUCCGGAAUUACUGGGCGUAAAGAGCUCGUAGGUGGUUUGUCGCGUUGUUCGUGAAAACUCACAGCUCAACUGUGGGCGUGCGGGCGAUACGGGGCAGACUGGAGUACUGCAGGGGGAGACUGGAAUUCCUGGUGUAGCGGUGGAAUGCGCAGAUAUCAGGAGGAACACCGGUGGCGAAGGCGGGUCUCUGGGCAGUAACUGACGCUGGAGGAGCGAAAGCGUGGGGAGCGAACAGG
rnacentral:rRNA from 1 species